CAGUCGCCGCGGUAAUACAGAGGGUGCGAGCGUUAAUCGGAUUUACUGGGCGUAAAGCGUGCGUAGGCGGCUUUUUAAGUCGGAUGUGAAAUCCCUGAGCUUCACUUAGGAAUUGCAUUCGAUACUGGGAAGCUAGAGUAUGGGAGAGGAUGGUAGAAUUCCAGGUGUAGCGGUGAAAUGCGUAGAGAUCUGGAGGAAUACCGAUGGCGAAGGCAGCCAUCUGGCCUAAUACUGACGCUGAGGUACGAAAGCAUGGGGAGCAAACAGGAUUAGAUACCCCGGUAGUCCCUGUCUCUUAUAC
rnacentral:rRNA from 1 species